AGAAAAAUUGCACCAGGCAAGUUAAACAGGCAGGGGAAACUUUAUUCAAGGUUAUUUUGAUAGGGGAGAGAAACUGAGUUCAACUCCUUAGUACUGUGAGCCCCGAAGCUGAGGAACCAGCUCAGCCACACCAUGCCCAGGCUUAUUAAUGGGUACUGUUUUAAGCAUAAAUUUUGGGUAAUUUGUUGGAAUGGCUAUAUUAGUAUCAGAUAAAGUAGACUUUAGA
rnacentral:lncRNA from 1 species